CCUACGUGUGGCUGCAGUGGGGAAUAUUGCACAAUGGGCGAAAGCCUGAUGCAGCAACGCCGCGUGAAGGAAGACGGUUUUCGGAUUGUAAACUUCUGUUAUUAGUGAAGAAUAAUGACGGUAACUAAAGAGCAAGCCACGGCUAACUACGUGCCAGCAGCCGCGGUAAUACGUAGGUGGCAAGCGUUGUACGGAAUUACUGGGUGUAAAGGGAGCGUAGGCGGGAAGCCAAGUCAGCUGUGAAAACUACGGGCUUAACCUGUAGACUGCAGUUGAAACUGGCUUUCUUGAGUGAAGUAGAGGGUGGCAGAAUUCCGGGUGUAGCGGUGAAAUGCGUAGAGAUUCGGAGGAACACCGGUGGCGAAGGCGGCCAACUGGGCUUUAACUGACGCUGAGGCUCGAAAGUGUGGGGAGCAAACAGGAUUAGAUACCCUAGUAGUC
rnacentral:rRNA from 1 species